rnacentral:lncRNA from 1 species
GGAGGAGCUGAGAGAAAGUAAAGUACUUAUUUCAGUCCACUUCUGACAGACCUUGUCACUGUGCCUGCAACCUGGUCAGAGAGGAACUCUUCUCCCAGGAUGGACAAUUCUCAUGCUACAAAGUCCUGUGUGCUCAUCCUUCUUGUGGUCCUACUGUGUGCAGAAAGAGACUCUCAGAGAAAAAAAGCAAAGAACAGUUAUUGCUUUUCCAUCUGCCCUACUAAUAAAUAUUUCACGAUCCUGGAUGCUACUGUCAGCGUGAAGAGUUUCUGUUGCGAGGAAGACCUCUGCAAUGCAGAGAUUGCCACAGGAAGCAGCUCCUAGACCACGGCAGGGGUGCUUCUGUUCAGCCUGGGCUCAGUCCUCCUGCAGACCCUGCUGUGAUGGUCCUUCCAACAACCCUCACCCUUGUCCUUUUAUCCUCAUGUGUAAGCACUUUUUCCUGGAGCCCUCUAGUGAUGAAUUGUGAGUUGUAGAAGCUCCAAGGUGGGGGACUUUAUAACCUCAGCUGGGUAGUUCCCCACUCCUCUCUAGGGCUUUCGAAUCUGUACUUCCUGGAAUGUUAUUUUGUUUUGACUUGCUACUUUUGGCCCUGGAGGCAAGGGGCCAGCACAGGGAAUAGGCAAAUUUCCAAGGUAUUAUGCCAUCCCCAUCCACAUGUAAGUAUCUGGGGUCCUCCAGGGUUCCCACAUGUGCUGUUCAAUGUCUCUCUGUUGAGUUCAAUAAAGACUUUGUUCUCCCAGCUAA